UAUUGGUCAAUGGGGGAAACCCUGAACCAGCAAUGCCGCGUGAGGGAAGAAGGUCUUCGGAUUGUAAACCUAAGUAGUCAGGGACGAAAGAAAUGACGGUACCUGAAGAGUAAGCUCCGGCUAACUACGUGCCAGCAGCCGCGGUAAUACGUAGGGAGCGAGCGUUAUCCGGAUUUACUGGGUGUAAAGGGAGCGUAGACGGAUGUGCAAGUCUGGAGUGAAAGCCCGGGGCUCAACCUCGGGACUGCUUUGGAAACUGUAGAUCUAGAGUGCUGGAGAGGUAAGUGGAAUUCCUAGUGUAGCGGUGAAAUGCGUAGAUAUUAGGAGGAACACCAGUGGCGAAGGCGGCUUACUGGACAGUAACUGACGUUGAGGCUCGAAAGCGUGGGGAGCAA
rnacentral:rRNA from 1 species